rnacentral:rRNA from 1 species
UACGGGGGGGGCAAGCGUUGUUCGGAAUUACUGGGCGUAAAGGGCUCGUAGGCGGCCAACUAAGUCAGACGUGAAAUCCCUCGGCUUAACCGGGGAACUGCGUCUGAUACUGGAUGGCUUGAGGUUGGGAGAGGGAUGCGGAAUUCCAGGUGUAGCGGUGAAAUGCAUAGAUAUGACCCGGAACACCUAUUGCGAAGGCAGCAGGCUAAACAAAGAUUGACGCUGAGGCUCGAAAGCGUGGGGAUCAAACAGG